rnacentral:rRNA from 1 species
CUAGCGACUUCUAGAGUUUGUAUCCUGGCUCAGGAUUAACGCUGCGGCGUGCAUAACACAUUCAAGUCGAACGGUGACGAGGCCUUCGGGUCUCUGAUCAGUGGCGACGGGUGAGUAACGCGUGAGCAAUCUACCUCUUGGUGAGGGAUAACAACCGGAAACAGUUGCUAAUACCUCAUGAAACGGCAGCACCGCAUGGUGCAACCGUCAAAGAUUUAUUGCCAAGAGAUGAGCUUGCGUCUGAUUAGCUAGUUGGUGAGGUAACGGCCCACCAAGGCGACGAUCGGUAGCCGGACUGAGAGGUUGAACGGCCACAUUGGAACUGAGAUACGGUCCAG